ACAAAGGCAAUGAUAAAGAGGAGUAUAAUAAGAGAGUGUAUGCAGAGAGGAAAUCCUUUGGCUGAGAGAUUUCUAACAGUCCUUAUUAGAAGCAGCUUUUGAGCCAUGGUUCUGAAUCUAUUUUAGUAAGAAUCAGCGGAAGACAGCCGUUAUCUGUCAGGUAUUGAACUGUACUGGAGAGACCAUUUUGGUAAGUAGGGUGGUACCGCGAGAGCACUCUCGUCCCUAUA
rnacentral:ncRNA from 1 species